UCCCAUUUUCAUGUAACUACUGGUUAUCCUCCUGACAUUGUGCACGACCUUUUUGAAGGUGUUGUACCAGUUGAACUGGCUCGUUGUAUGAGUUUGUUGAUCUCCAAAAAAUACUUCACUUUUGAAAGGCUCAACACAUUGAUUCAGACAUUUCCGUACAAAUGGGGGGACAGAACCAAUCGCCCCCAUGCCAUACCACGCUCUUUCACAUCUAGAAACACAAUAGGUGGCAAUGCGCAUGAAAACUGGACCUUAAUAAGACUGCUUCCCUUUGUGAUUGGGCACAUUUUACCAGAAGAUGAACCAGCGUGGCAGCUAAUUCUAGAUCUUAAGGACAUAGUUGAGUUGGUUGUGGCCCCUGUUCACACAGAUGAGACCAUUGCUUAUCUUGAAGCCAAGAUCUAUGAUCAUAGGCAGCGCUAUCUUGAACUCUUUCCACAUGUAAAGCUCUUACCAAAACAUCACUUUUUAGAGCACUAUCCGCAAAUGAUUCGUUGCUUCGGGCCUCUAAUUGUACUGUGGACAAUGAGAUUUGAGGCUAAACAUAGCUUCUUCAAGCAGGUUGCUCGUCACACCAAUUGCUUUAAGAACAUACCUCGUUCACUAGCUACUAAACACCAGUUCAUGCUUGCCUAUCACACACAUUCCUCCAGUGUCAAGAAGUCAUCCUUGGAGGUCACACAUGUCUCAAUCCUGCCUGUUGAUGUCCUUAAUGAGGGAGUCGUGUCUACACUGAAACAAAGUUUCCCAGAUGUGACUGAGGUUCAUAUGGCAAACAAUGUGUCUAGCUUGGGUAUACGUUACUGCGAGGGGAUGAUUAUUGUACACGGAUCUGCAGAUGGACUGCCUAAAUUCCAUGAGAUCAUUAAACUUUGCAUUGUUAAGGAGAAGUUGUGUUUUCUGGUAAAAGACGCAUGUGCUUGGUACAGAGAGCAUUAUGGUGCUUUUGAGCUGUCUGCCUCGCCCAAUACAGAGGUUGCCGUUAUUGAGCUUGCUGACUUGGUAGACCCCUAUCCCCUUGUUGACUACAUGGUUGGGAGUUUGCGCAUGGUAAUGUUGAAAAGAUUCAUCAUUGUUAAAGAUUAAAAGGUGUUCCAUAAUGGCAGGUCGGGCGCUUCUGCGCAUCAUCUUUGCCGACCAGUCUGACUCUAGAAAACUGACCCUGGAUUCGGGAAUCCCAGCAACAGUUGAAGAACUGCACACAUUUGUCAAGACAUCUCUUCAAUUGAAAGAGGACUUCCGUCUGCAAUACAUGGAUGUUGACUUUAACGAGUUCAUGAAUCUUACAUCAGUGUCUGAAAUUCAGGAUAAAAGCACACUGAAAACGCCUUGAGAUUGUGGAGCAAAGGCCUUUGAUAGGGGACUUCAAAUGCAGAUGGCCUGCUCUGUUUCAGCAGAGUGAAGUGAAUGCGGAGUUUUUGAGGAUCACAACAUCACCACUUCAAUCAAAGUUCAUGUGGCAGCUGGACCACUUCUCAGACAAGCUCUUGAAGAUCUUCAAGACCAAAGGAGGAGUGAAGGGGCACAAAAUCAAGGAAGCCCUUGCAAUAUCAGAUUCGUUUGAAAACAUCCACAUCAAGAGGGGGUGCAUCCUGCGAAGCAUCGCGAUCUACCUCAACGAGGAUCCAGACUCUUUUUUUAAGGAGUAUCAGGCCUCUGCCUCUGAAGAUGCCAAGAGGGACAUGGCAAACACAGUCAUGGGCAUAUACACACUUCAAAGAGAUGUGGAUGGGCAGCCAGAGGACGUGGGAAUUGUCAUCGAAGGCAAUAUAGUCAUGGACAACUUGGGCAGCAUGAUUGUGGGGUUUGUCAUGCUAUUGGGACUUAUUUAUGCCCUGGAUUUGAGCUUUCCGGACAACCUCAAACACACCUUCGAGUUCAUGCAGAAGGUAGUGAUGAAUCUGGAUGGGCACAAGCUGAAUGGUAAAAUCGAAAGUCUGAAGAUCAAGUUGUUCGAUUGAAAUGUGAAAAAGAAGUGACUCAUGAGUUCAUUGUUGUCAUUUUAUUCACGAGUUUCCUAGUCAGAGCAGAUUGAGCCGUUAUAUCAAUCAUUUGUUCUGUGCUUUUCUGUAUUUGUUUCAACACACUGUAACACUAUUUCCAUAUGUUGGUGUUUGCAGUGCACUCUUUAUGUUAUGUGUUAUUGUCCUGUUAGAAGAGCAGUGCAUACCCCUGUUAUAUUGUAUUCAUUGUAUUUGGCAAAGGGAGAUUUGUAAGUUAAUUAUAGGAGUUCCAUUUCUCUGCCAUUUUAAAAAUGGUAUUAUCUUUCAGAAAUGUUUUUCAUCUUUCAGUGUGAAUUCAUUCAUUUUAAAAAGACUGUAUUGAAUGGAGGAUUGUUUUGAAUAAUGUGAAUUUAAAAAUAAAAAAAACUAAACCAUGUUUUCUAUCAUGUGUAACACAUUUUUAUUAAAUUAUAUUUAACCUCAUUAUUUCAUUUUCAAUUAAUUAAAUAGGAUUUAGGUGGACUAGCAUUAUUUAAAUUCAUAAAGGUAAUGUUAUCAUUUUACUUAAACUCUAUUUGAAAAAUUUGAGUUGGACUAACUCAUUUACAUUAUACUGCAUGGAUGCCAUUAGUUUGAGUUUGUGCCACAUAUAUUUAUUGGAUGGAAAACCUGCCAACAAUAAAAUUGAGUUAAUCCAAUGAGUUAUUUC